CAAUAGCGUAUAUUUAAGUUGCUGCAGUUAAAAAGCUCGUAGUUGGAUUUCGGGUGGGAAUGGCCGGUCCGCCGUUUCGGUGUGCACUUGCUACGCCCACCUUGCUGCCGGGGACGUGCUCUUGAGUUCACGCUCGGGACACGGAGUCGGCGAGGUUACUUUGAGUAAAUUAGAGUGUUCAAGGCAGGCCUACGCUCUGAAUACAUUAGCAUGGAAUAACACGAUAGGACUCUGGCCUAUCUUGUUGGUCUGUAGGACCGGAGUAAUGAUUAAGAGGGACAGUCGGGGGCAUUCGUAUUUCAUUGUCAGAGGUGAAAUUCUUGGAUUUAUGAAAGACGAACUACUGCGAAAGCAUUUGCCAAGGAUGUUUUCAUUAA
rnacentral:rRNA from 1 species